rnacentral:rRNA from 1 species
CCUACGGGACGCACCAGUAGGGAAUCUUCGGCAAUGGACGAAAGUCUGACCGAGCAACGCCGCGUGAGUGAAGAAGGUUUUCGGAUCGUAAAACUCUGUUGUUAGAGAAGAACAAGUAGGAGAGUAACUGCCCUUACCUUGACGGUAUCUAACCAGAAAGCCACGGCUAACUACGUGCCAGCAGCCGCGGUAAUACGUAGGUGGCAAGCGUUGUCCGGAUUUAUUGGGCGUAAAGCGAGCGCAGGCGGUCUUUUAAGUCUGAUGUGAAAGCCCUCGGCUCAACCGAGGAGGGUCAUUGGAAACUGGAGGACUUGAGUGCAGAAGAGGAGAGUGGAAUUCCAUGUGUAGCGGUGAAAUGCGUAGAUAUAUGGAGGAACACCAGUGGCGAAGGCGACUCUCUGGUCUGUAACUGAUGCUGAGGCUCGAAAGCGUGGGGAGCAAGCAGGAUUAGAUACCCCGGUAGUC